GGUUUCCUGGUGUAAUGGCUAGCACUGCGGAUUCUGAUUCUUGGAUCGAAAAAGAUUCCUGAUUUAAACAUUCCGCCAAUCUGGGUUCGAUUCCCAGGGAGACCU